rnacentral:rRNA from 2 species
UACGUAGGGGGCAAGCGUUGUCCGGAUUUAUUGGGCGUAAAGAGCGUGUAGGCGGCCAUGCAGGUCCGUUGUGAAAACUCGAGGCUCAACCUCGAGACGCCGGUGGAAACCGCAUGGCUAGAGUCCGGAAGAGGAGAGUGGAAUUCCUGGUGUAGCGGUGAAAUGCGCAGAUAUCAGGAAGAACACCCGUGGCGAAGGCGGCUCUCUGGGACGUGACUGACGCUGAGACGCGAAAGCGUGGGGAGCAAACAGG